GCGUAGGCGGACUGUUAAGUCAGCGGUUAAAGAGUGUGGCUCAACCAUACGAUGCCGUUGAAACUGGUGGUCUUGAGUGCACACAGGGAUGCUGGAACUCGUGGUGUAGCGGUGAAAUGCUUAGAUAUCACGAUGAACUCCGAUCGCGAAGGCAGGUGUCCGGGGUGUAACUGACGCUGAGGCUCGAAAGUGUGGGUAUCAAACAGGAUUAGAUACCCUGGUAGUCCACACAGUAAACGAUGAAUACUCGCAGUUUGCGAUAUAGUGUAAGCUGCCAAGCGAAAGCAUUAAGUAUUCCACCUGGGGAGUACGCCGGCAACGGUGAAACUCAAAGGAAUUGACGGGGGCCCGCACAAGCGGAGGAACAUGUGGUUUAAUUCGAUGAUACGCGAGGAACCUUACCCGGGCUUGAACUAGCUUCGACGAGAGUAGAGAUACUCUUUUCUUCGGACGGAGUUAGAGGUGCUGCAUGGUUGUCGUCAGCUCGUGCCGU
rnacentral:rRNA from 1 species